rnacentral:ncRNA from 1 species
CGACGACAGCCGGGGUGCCCCGAGGUCGGGGCUGAGAACACACCCGCAACACCUGAUCUAGGUCGUGCUAGCGAAGGGAGCCACCUCCAUGACCGU